rnacentral:lncRNA from 1 species
UUUCUUCCUGCGUUGGUGCUUACGCAAUGGAAAAUAGACAAGAAGAACGAAUAUAGCCUGUAUGUGCAUGAAAGAUUAAAUUUAGAGAGUCAAAAGAUAGAAAUAGAGAAACGUAGUACUCUACAAACUUAACCUUUUAGAGAACGGUGUUUAUAUAUUUUUAUAUUUAACAGGGUCCAGAUCUAUUUAGUCAUUAUAUAUCCUAUGAAAGAAAUUACAAAGUUUAAAUGUGAGACAAGUGGAGAAACUAAAAUAUUUUCGUGAUUAGCACAUGAUCGCAUGACGUGGUACGUUGCAAGCAGUCCAAAACUAUUUAAUUAAUCUUAAUCCCAUGGCGAUUUGUACCAUCUUGUUGGGCUACACCCAUUAAUACUCCAACUACAAUAUUCGUAGGCUUGAACUUCUAUACUUUAAAAGUUAUAAUGGGCUAAACCACUUGUCUCUUUUUUUCUUUUUCUUUUUCUUUUUUUUUUUUCCUGCGUUGGUGCUUACCAUAGUCAGUUAAUUCAAAUUCGGCAAAAAUUCGGUACGGAUAUAAUUCGGAUAAAAUUUAUUUUUUAAUUUUUAAAUUCGUUGAAAAAUACGCCUAGAAAACGGAUUUGUCAAUUAUUCAGAUACGUGAUUUAUACGGAUAUUAUACGUUCAUCAAUUAAAAAUUCGAGAUCAAAAAUUCGGCUAUUAAAUUAAGUUUUUUUUUUCUCUCAAGAUUUAUGUUAUUAGCAUAAAUACUUAUAUUUCUUAUGAAUAUAAAAAUAAAGAGCUAAAAAAUGAAGCUAAUUAAGUAAAAAAAA